UACGCGGAUAGAGGCGCGGGACUCAUGCGUACCCGGAACAAUGGCCAGGCAGCCGUUUCGGGGAGAGGGGGAACCGCCGAAGGAGCAGCCGCCUGCCUGGGCGGCGUAUCCUGGGCCGUGGGAGAAUAUCCUGCGGACUGUCACAAAAUUUGUGGAGCGCUAUCCAGACG
rfam:Subdoligranulum sp. 4_3_54A2FAA genomic scaffold supercont1.9, whole genome shotgun sequence.